UCCCUGGUAGUCUAGUGGUUAGAACUCAGUGCUUUCAGUGCUGCGACCUGGGUUCAGUACCUGGUCUGGGAA
rnacentral:tRNA from 1 species